GCUUAACACAUGCAAGUCGAGCGGUAACAUGACUAGUAGCAAUACUAGUUGAUGACGAGCGGCGGACGGGUGAGUAACACGUAGGAACUUGCCCAGUAGUGGGGGACAACCAAGGGAAACUUUGGCUAAUACCGCAUAUUCUCGAGAGAGGAAAGCUGCCGCAAGGUGGCGCUAUUGGAGAGGUCUGCGUCCGAUUAGCUAGUUGGUAGGGUAAAAGCCUACCAAGGCGAGGAUCGGUAACUGGUCUGAGAGGACGACCAGUCACACUGGGACUGAGACACGGCCCAGACUCCUACGGGAGGCAGCAGUGGGGAAUCUUGGACAAUGGGGGCAACCCUGAUCCAGCGAUGCCGCGUGAGUGAAGAAGGCCUUCGGGUCGUAAAGCUCUUUAGGCUGGGAAGAAGGUUGGUAGUUUAAGAGAUAAUCAAUUUGACUGUACCCGCAGAAUAAGCACCGGCAAACUCUGUGCCAGCCGCCGCUGUAA
rnacentral:rRNA from 1 species